AAACUAACAAGGAUUCCCCUAGUAACUGCGAGUGAAGCGGGAAGAGCUCAAAUUUAAAAUCUGGCGGUUAUGCCGUCCGAGUUGUAAUCUGGAGAAGUGUUUUCUGUGCUGGACCGUGCAUAAGUGUCUUGGAAUAGGACGUCAUAGAGGGUGAGAAUCCCGUCUUUGGCACGGACUACCAGUGCUCUGUGAUACGCUCUCAAAGAGUCGAGUUGUUUGGGAAUGCAGCUCAAAAUGGGUGGUAAAUUCCAUCUAAAGCUAAAUAUAGGCGAGAGACCGAUAGCGAACAAGUACCGUGAGGGAAAGAUGAAAAGCACUUUGGAAAGAGAGUUAAACAGUACGUGAAAUUGUUGAAAGGGAAACGCUUGAAGUCAGUCGCGUUGUCCAGGACUCAACCUUAGUUUUCUUUGGUGUAUUUCCUGGUUAACGGGUCAACAUCAAUUUUGAUCGGUGGAAAAAGGCGGCGGGAAUGUGGCACCUUCGGGUGUGUUAUAGCCUGUUGUUGUAUACACUGGUUGGGAUUGAGGAUAUCACGCCCUCGGCGGUAGGAUGUUGGCAUAAUGGCUUUAAGCGACCCGUCU
rnacentral:rRNA from 1 species